CAGCCGCCGCGGGAAUACGGAGGGGGCUAGCGUUGUUCGGAAUUACUGGGCGUAAAGCGUGCGCAGGCGGUUGUGUAAGACAGGUGUGAAAUCCCCGGGCUUAACCUGGGAACUGCGCUUGUGACUGCACAGCUAGAGUAUGGCAGAGGGGGGUGGAAUUCCACGUGUAGCAGUGAAAUGCGUAGAGAUGUGGAGGAACACCGAUGGUGAAGGCAGCCCCCUGGGCCAAUACUGACGCUCAUGCACGAAAGCGUGGGGAGCAAACAGGAUUAGAUACCCCGGUAGUCCCUGUCUCUUAUAA
rnacentral:rRNA from 1 species